UGCUGCUGGAAGCUGGUCCGCACUGUCGUGAGCCCAGCUGGGCAACGUUUGCGCUGCCAGAUGCAGAGCAGUCGUGGCUAGCGAUUGUGGUCGUAAAGGCGAAUGGUCGUAAGCUGCAUAGGUCAUGGGUCGAUCAAUACCUGUAUUUACAUUGAUAAGAAA